CCCCAGGUCAGGCGGGAUUACCCGCUGAAUUUAA
rnacentral:rRNA from 1 species